rnacentral:rRNA from 1 species
GACGAACGCUGGCGGCGUGCCUAAUACAUGCAAGUAGAACGCUGAAGAGAGGAGCUUGCUCUUCUUGGAUGAGUUGCGAACGGGUGAGUAACGCGUAGGUAACCUGCCUGGUAGCGGGGGAUAACUAUUGGAAACGAUAGCUAAUACCGCAUGAAAUGGAUUAUCGCAUGAUAAUCGAUUGAAAGGUGCAAUUGCAUCACUACCAGAUGGACCUGCGUUGUAUUAGCUAGUUGGUGGGGUAACGGCUCACCAAGGCGACGAUACAUAGCCGACCUGAGAGGGUGAUCGGCCACACUGGGACUGAGACACGGCCCAGACUCCUACGGGAGGCAGCAGUAGGGAAUCUUCGGCAAUGGACGGAAGUCUGACCGAGCAACGCCGCGUGAGUGAAGAAGGUUUUCGGAUCGUAAAGCUCUGUUGUAAGAGAAGAACGAGUGUGAGAGUGGAAAGUUCACACCUGGGACGUAUCUACCAGAAAGGGACGCAUUUCC